AGAGUUUGAUCCUGGCUCAGAACGAACGCUGGCGGCGCGUCUUAAGCAUGCAAGUCGAACGGCAAGAGAGAAGCUUGCUUCUCUCCUAGAGUGGCGGACUGGUGAGGAACACGUGGGUAAUCUACCCUUAAGAUGGGGAUAGCUGCUAGAAAUAGCAGGUAAUACCGAAUACACUCGGCGCUUCAUAAGAAGUGUUGAGGAAAGGAAGCUACGGCUUCGCUUGAGGAUGAGCUUGCGUCCCAUUAGCUAGUUGGUGAGGUAAAGGCCCACCAAGGCGACGAUGGGUAUCCGGCCUGAGAGGGUGAACGGACACAUUGGGACUGAGAUACGGCCCAAACUCCUACGGGAGGCAGCAGCUAAGAAUAUUCCGCAAUGGACGAAAGUCUGACGGAGCGACGCCGCGUGGAUGAAGAAGGCUGAAAAGUUGUAAAAUCCUUUUGUUGAUGAAGAAUAAGGGGAAGAGGGAAUGCUUCUCUGAUGACGGUAAUCGGCGAAUAAGCCCCGGCUAAUUACGUGCCAGCAGCCGCGGUAACACGUAAGGGGCGAGCGUUGUUCGGAAUUAUUGGGCGUAAAGGGCAUGUAGGCGGUUAUGUAAGCCUGAUGUGAAAUCCUGGGGCUUAACCCUAGAAUAGCAUUGGGUACUGUGUAACUUGAAUUACGGAAGGGAAACUGGAAUUCCAAGUGUAGGGGUGGAAUCUGUAGAUAUUUGGAAGAACACCGGUGGCGAAGGCGGGUUUCUGGCCGAUGAUUGACGCUGAUAUACGAAGGUGCGGGGAGCAAACAGGAUUAGAUACCCUGGUAGUCCGCACAGUAAACGAUGUACACUAGGUGUUGGGGUAAGACUCAGUGCCGGAGCAAACGCGAUAAGUGUACCGCCUGGGGAGUAUGCCCGCAAGGGUGAAAC
rnacentral:rRNA from 1 species